rnacentral:rRNA from 1 species
UACGAAGGGGGCUAGCGUUGUUCGGAAUCACUGGGCGUAAAGCGCGUGUAGGCGUCCCACUAAGUCUGAUGUGAAAGCCCGGGGCUCACCCCCGGAAGUGCAUUGGAAACUGGUGGACUCGAGUCCCGGAGAGGAGAGUGGAAUUCCUGGUGUAGCGGUGAAAUGCGCAGAUAUCAGGAAGAACACCCGUGGCUAAGGCGGCUCUCUAGUACGGUACUGACGCUGAGACGCGAAAGCGUGGGGAGCGAACAGG